AACGAACGCUGGCGGCAUGCCUAACACAUGCAAGUCGAACGAGACCUUCGGGUCUAGUGGCGCACGGGUGCGUAACGCGUGGGAACCUGCCCUUAGGUUCGGAAUAACUCCCCGAAAGGGGUGCUAAGACCGGAUAAUGUCUUCGGGCCAAGGAUUUAGCGCUUGUGGAUGGGCUUGGGUUGGAUUAGCUUGUUGGUAGGGUAGUGGCCUACCAAGGCGAUGAUCCGUAGCUGGUCUGUGAGGAUGAUCAGCCACACUGGGAGUGAGAUACGGCACAGACUCCUCCGGGAGGCAGCGCUGGGGAAUAGUGCACUAUGGGCGGAAGCCUGAUGCAGCACAGCCGCGUGCGGGAUGACGGCCUUCGGGUUGUAAACCGCUUUCGCCUGUGACGAAGCGUGAGUGACGGUAAUGGGUAAAGAAGCACCGGCUAACUACGUG
rnacentral:rRNA from 1 species